rnacentral:rRNA from 1 species
AUAUUAACCAGUUUUAUUAUUUAUUAUAAUAAUGAUAUUUAAGUUUUAUCAAAAAUUUAAAUUCUGUAUUAUCAGUUUAUUAUUUGUAUUAUAAUUAUAUAUGUGUUUUAUAUUUAAAUAUUAAAUUUGUUGUUUUAUAUUUAUAUUUAUAUUUAUAAUUUAAACAUAUAAAUUUUUAUUUUAAAAUUUAUUGAACUGUAAUGUAUUGUUUAAUAUUUUUAGUUUGAUGUUUAAAUAUUUAAUUAAAGAAGGUACAGUUGUUAUAUAUGUAACAAAUAAAUAUAGUAAGAUUAUUUUAUUUAUAUUAAUAUAUAAAUAUUUAUAUUUUUUAAAUGAAUAUUAUGAAUACAUUAAAAAUUAAUUUUUUUAACUAAUAAUAUAAAUAUAUACUUAUUAUUUGAUUUGAAUAUUAAAUAUACUUAUUAUAAUUUGUACUUAUUUAAAUUAAUUAAUUAAUUAGUAAAUAAAUAUUAUUAUUUAAUAUGUCAUUUUAAUAUUUAAUAUUUGUUUAUAUAUAAGUAAAAAAAAUAAAUAAUAAGUAUUAUUAUUAAAUAUUUAUUUAUAUAAAUAUAAAUAUAUUGUUAAUAAAAUUUUUGUAUUUUAAAUGCGUUUAUUAAAUGCGUUUGUCUAAGUAUUUUAUUUAAGAUUAUUCUUGUAUAUAUAUUUUCUUUUUAUUAGUUCUUAUUACAAUAUAUAUAUUCCUUAUUAUUAAAAUAUUUGUAGCAUAGUAAUUUAUUAAUUAAUUAUUAAAGAGUUCCAUAGAAAUUUUUUAAAUUAUAACAAAUAAAAUAAUGUAUGAAUUAAAAUAAAAAUUUUAAUAAAAAUUAAAUAAUUAAAAUAGGACAAGACCUACUCUCCUUUACAAAGAGAACAUUAUUAUAUAUGUAUUUGUAUGUUUGAUUGGGGCAAUACUAUAUUUAGUUAUAUAGAAAAAGAACUAUAAUUAUUGAAAUAGUAAAAGGUUCGAGCAGGUUAACAAGCAUAUAUAUAAAAUGUGUUUCAUCGUCUACUUAUUGUUUUAAAUUGAUUGUUCAUCAAAAUUACAAUUCGUUAGUUGGGUUAAAAUCGUUGUAAAGCAGAUUUGUUUAUAUAUUUAAUUAAUAAAUAAAAGUAAAAUAAAUAUUAGUACGCAAGGAUUGAUUAU